AGUAACACGUAUCCAACCUGCCUCAUACUCGGGGAUAGCCUUUCGAAAGAAAGAUUAAUAUCCGAUAGCAUAUAUUUCCCGCAUGGGUUUUAUAUUAAAGAAAUUCGGUAUGAGAUGGGGAUGCGUUCCAUUAGUUUGUUGGGGGGGUAACGGCCCACCAAGACUACGAUGGAUAGGGGUUCUGAGAGGAAGGUCCCCCACAUUGGAACUGAGACACGGUCCAA
rnacentral:rRNA from 1 species